rnacentral:rRNA from 1 species
GACGAACGCUGGCGGCGUGCUUAACACAUGCAAGUCGAACGGAAAGGCCCUGCUUUUGUGGGGUGCUCGAGUGGCGAACGGGUGCGUAACACGUGAGUAUCCUGCUCUUGACUUUGGGAUAACUUAAGGUAACUGGGGCUAAUCUCGGAUAGGAGCUCCUGCUGCGUGGAGGGGGUUGGAACGUUUCGGCGGUUGGGGAUGGAUUCGCGGCUUAUCAGCUUGUUGGUGGGGUAGUGGCAUACCCAGGGUUUGACGGGUAGCCCGCAUGGGAGGGUGGCCGGGCACAAUGGGACUACGGUAGGGCCCAGUCUCCAACAUUGGGCAGCAGUGGGAAAUCUUGCACAGUGGGAGGGAGCCUGAUGCAGCAACGCCGCGGUCGGAAUGACGUCCUGCUGGUUAUAAACCGCUGUCGCCUGUUACGAAGCGUUAGUGACGGUAAUGGGUAAAUAAGCACCGGCUAACUACGUG